GGGGGGGCGGGGCGGCGGCCCCUGGCCGGGACUGCUGGCAGCUGGUGAGGGGGAGGGGAGCCCAGGGGGCGGCCGCAAGGACGAGUCAAGGAGAGAGGCAGGACCACCGGCCCUUCCGCUGGCCCACAGGCUAGGGGUCAAAUCCAAGCUGUAGACGGCCUACACCACAGCCACAGGAAUGCCAGAUCUGAGCCACAUCUGUGACCUAGAUCUCAGCUCAAAGCCGGAUCCUUAGCCCACUGAGCAACACCAGGGAUCGAACCUGAGUCCUCUGGUUACCAGUCAGAUUAAUUUCCGCUGAGCCACAACGGGAACUCCCAGCAGUUUUAUCCCCAGUGCCCUGACCCCAAACCUGGGCCAAGCUGACCAGCCAGGGGGUUGAGGAUGGGGCAGGCAGCAGAGGAGGGCCAAGGGAGCCUCCCCGCCCCCUCUUUCCCUCCCCCCACCCCCAGCAGGCCAGCUGUUCUCCAGCUGCCAGAGGCUCCCACCCUAGAAGUAGCAGUGCUUGUGCUUUGGUCGCUCUGCUUGGGACUGGAGAGUGAGGCGGGUGGGCUGAAGAUGGUGUCUGCCUCCCCCUCCCCGCCAGCCCAGCCCGAGGACCCCUGGGGGACCCUGCCAAGCGGCCACACCCUGCCAGGCUGGGGAGGGAGUACCCUCCUCCCUGGAGCAGGGUCAAGAUUUUUACAGGAGGAAGCAAUUUGCAGGGCCCCCUAGGAGGGGGUGGAGGGGGGCUCCCCCUCCUCAGCUUAUUAAUGUGCUUCCAAUUUGCGGACCACGUCUCUCCACAUCCACGACUGGGGCACAGGCUUCUGGUGGAGCAGAGGGGGCUGGCGUAGCCCCCAGGCCCCCUUCCCCUAAGCUCUUCUUCAUUGUCACCGCCUCCACCCCCCAUCAGGGUCCGAGGGAGGGAAGAGACUCAGAGCCAGGGAACCUCCUGCAGAGAGAAAGGGCCCAGUUCCCAGACCUCCCUGCACCCCGACUCUAUCCUGUCAGCUCACCUUGUCCCACUCCAGGCUGGAGGGGACGGGGAUGCAGCCAAUGGGUAACUUGGGAAACUGGGUUUCACAGGUCUCAGUGAAUGCGCCGUCGGAGGGCCCUGCCUCAACCUGCCUGCACUCUGGCCCCUUGGACUCUGGGUCACCCACUGAGCUGCCACUGGUCACUCAGUCAGUUCCCCCCUCAAAAGUCUCCCAAUGUCAAUGUGGUCUGUAAACACACAGGCUCUCCUCUGGCCCCUCAGCUCGAUCUCUCCCACACACAAUUCUCUUCAUAGCCACUGUCCUGCACAUUCAGGGUUACCUGCAUCUCUCGUUACUUUUUUAAAAAAUGGUGUGUUUUUUUGUUUGGGUUUUUUUUUUUCUUUUUUUUUCUUUUUUAGGGUUGCAGUUGCGACAAAAGAAGUUCCAAGUUUUGGGGUUGAAUUGGAGCUACAGCUGCCGGCCUACACCACAGCCACAGGAACGUGGGAUCCGAACCACAUCUGUGACCCACACCACAGCUCACGGCAACGCCAGAUCCUUAACCCACUGAGCGAGAGCAGGAAUCGAACCCGCAUCCUCAUGGAUACUAGUCAGGUUCGUUCCUGCUGAACCACAAUGGGAACUCAAAAACAAACAAACAAACAAACAAACAAAAAAACCCAAACAAAAAAGCUUUUUAUUGUGAUAAAAUAUACCUAAUAAAAAAUAUACCACU
rnacentral:lncRNA from 1 species